GUCGCUGGCCUCUCGGGGCAUGUGCACGCCCGAGCCCUUGAAUCCCAAACACCACAUGUGAACCCACCGUAGGCCUUCGGGCCUAUGUCUUAUCAUAUAAUCUGAAUGUCUAAUAGAAUGUAAACCCAUUUCGUUGCCUUGAAAACGUAACGAAAGAAAACUAUACAACUUUCAACAACGGAUCUCUUGGCUCUCGCAUCGAUGAAGAACGCAGCGAAAUGCGAUAAGUAAUGUGAAUUGCAGAUUUUCAGUGAAUCAUCGAAUCUUUGAACGCACCUUGCGCCCCUUGGUAUUCCGAGGGGCAUGCCUGUUUGAGUGUCAUKAAAUCCUCAACCCCUCCGAUUCGUUUCGGUGGGGAUUGGACUUGGAGCGUGCUGGCGAAGGUCGGCUCCUCUUUAAAUGCAUCAGCGGAGAAAAUGCCUUUUGCGCCUCUGGCCGUUCAGCGUGAUAAUGAUGUUGCGCUGCGGUCGAGCUUAAGGUCCGCUUCCAAAGGUCCUC
rnacentral:sRNA from 1 species